AUGAAUGAGCACUACGAUGAGGAGGAGAAACUAGGUUUAUCCAUGGACAACGAGGAAGAGGGCGUGGAGGAUGCUGAACUUGUUUCUGAUGCAGAUGGUGGUGGUGAUGACGACGCCGGGAGUGGUGAUGGCCACUUCGGUGACGAUGACUACUACGACGACGACAUUGCCGGGGGUUUCAACGAUUUCUACGGUGAUGCUGGGGAUGGUCCUGAUGACUGGUGGUAG
rnacentral:rRNA from 1 species